rnacentral:rRNA from 1 species
GUGCACAGCGAAAGGUGCUUGCACCUUUCAAGUGAGUGGCGAACGGGUGAGUAACACGUGGACAACCUGCCUCAAGGCUGGGGAUAACAUUUGGAAACAGAUGCUAAUACCGAAUAAAACUUAGUGUCGCAUGACACAAAGUUAAAAGGCGCUUCGGCGUCACCUAGAGAUGGAUCCGCGGUGCAUUAGUUAGUUGGUGGGGUAAAGGCCUACCAAGACAAUGAUGCAUAGCCGAGUUGAGAGACUGAUCGGCCACAUUGGGACUGAGACACGGCCCAAACUCCUACGGGAGGCUGCAGUAGGGAAUCUUCCACAAUGGGCGAAAGCCUGAUGGAGCAACGCCGCGUGUGUGAUGAAGGCUUUCGGGUCGUAAAGCACUGUUGUAUGGGAAGAACAGCUAGAAUAGGAAAUGAUUUUAGUUUGACGGUACCAUACCAGAAAGGGACGGCUAAAUACGUGCCAGCAGCCGCGGUAAUACGUAUGUCCCGAGCGUUAUCCGGAUUUAUUGGGCGUAAAGCGAGCGCAGACGGUUUAUUAAGUCUGAUGUGAAAGCCCGGAGCUCAACUCCGGAAUGGCAUUGGAAACUGGUUAACUUGAGUG